rnacentral:rRNA from 1 species
CCUACGGGUGGCAGCAGUAGGGAAUAUUGCUCAAUGGGGGAAACCCUGAAGCAGCAACGCCGCGUGGAGGAUGAAGGUUUUCGGAUUGUAAACUCCUUUUGUUAGAGAAGAUAAUGACGGUAUCUAACGAAUAAGCACCGGCUAACUCCGUGCCAGCAGCCGCGGUAAUACGGAGGGUGCAAGUGUUACUCGGAAUCACUGGGCGUAAAGAGCGAGUAGGCGGGAUAGCAAGUCAGAUGUGAAAUCCUAUGGCUUAACCAUAGAACUGCAUUUGAAACUGUUAUUCUAGAGUAUGGGAGAGGUAGGUGGAAUUCUGGGUGUAGGGGUAAAAUGCGUAGAGAUCAAGAGGAAUACUCAUGGCGAAGGCGACCUGCUAGAACAUAACUGACGCUGAGGCGCGAAAGCGUGGGGAGCAAACAGGAUUAGAUACCCUUGUAGUC